rnacentral:rRNA from 1 species
CGCGUAAAGAACUUGCCUCACAGCUAGGGACAACAUUUAGAAGUGAAUGCUAAUACCUGAUAUUAUGAUUUUAAGGCAUCUUAGAAUUAUGAAAGCUAUAAGCACUGUGAGAGAGCUUUGCGUCCCAUUAGCUAGUUGGAGAGGUAACAGCUCACCAAGGCGAUGAUGGGUAGCCGGCCUGAGAGGGUGAACGGCCACAAGGGGACUGAGACACGGCCCUU